UCUUCUAUUCUCUCUUUCUUUUUAUAUUAUUCUCAGUUUUUUUUCUUUGUGCCUCCUAAAGGAAAAUUGAAAUAUUUAAGUUGGUGCCAAAGUCAUAAUCUUCACUCAUGUCAGAUCUAAUGAAGAACACACAAAAGCCACAUCCAUCGCUGAAUCAAGAACGGGGUUGUCGUGGUUCGGCUUUGUAGAGGAGAUCCAUCUUUCGUCGGUUGCCGCGUCUAUCUCACCAACGCUGCCAAUGUUUUGGGAAGACAUGUGUGGCUUCGGUGUAGUGUGCCGAUAAUGGCGACGGUGGCGUGGGUGGCGGAGAAGACAGGAAAGCUGUCGCAAUUAACUGCCAUCAUCAAACGCUAGAUCUAACGGCAAACAUGUUUUUAUGCUUCUCAUCUUUCUUCUGCGCUAGAUCCGGUCGGAAGACGAGAUUGUGGUGGUGUAGCGGUUGCGGUGAUGGUUGGCGGAGCAAACCUUAGCCGUAGAAGAGACUAAAGAUGGUGCUAUGGUUGCGGUGGCGCGAUCGCACUGACAGUAUUAGCAGUGGUGGUGGGGAACAGUGGUGAUGUAGAAUAAAGAGAAGAGAGGAUCAUGGUAUUUGAUAAAAAGGAUUUUUACAUAUUUCCCCCUCUUAAGCUCCCUUAUUACAUAUUUCCCCAAACCAUAAAAUCAAUUACAUAUUUCCCCUUUUUUUGACAAAUUACCCCAUUACCCUCGUCAUAACCCAACUGCGUAAUAACAUCUGCCAAAACCCUACACAACAGCAUCAUGUUUCUUCUUCUUCAUUGACGUCUCUUCUUCUUCCCACAAAAACUGACGCACAUCAGUAGUUCAGUCAUACAGAAUGGGUAGUAAGGCAGUUGAAAUGAAGGGAGGAAAUUAAAGAAAGUGUAGAUCUUGUUGUUUUUACAACAGUCAAAUUUCUAAUCUUCUUCCCUGAUUAGAGCAGACGGGGUUGUUGUUGCUGUGUAAACGGGAAAUUAAAAAUGGGAUAGGAACAAAUACAUGCUUCUUAUGUGACAAGUGUUUAUUCUAGUAGAGAUGAGAGGAAAAAGAGGCAUCAAGUGGCACUGUGGCCGCAGUUAUGCAACAGCCUUAUGUCACCAAUUUUGAACUUAUCCAAAAAGAAGACUAAUAUUAAUUUUUUUGGUGUGUACUGUACAAAACAAAUCAACCAUGUUCAUAAUAAUUUAUAGAUGAUAUGCAAAACUGAACAUGAAUUCAGAGUA